GGGAAAUCCCAAAAGCUAGGAGGCGGAACAAGACAGGAGUUUCCAUCAAUGAGAAAACCACCUGCUCUGCAGUUCCAAAGCUGUCACCACUGCAUUUCUUCUGGAGGAGGAGUUUUGGGAUGCAGACCUGCCAAAAGAAGACAUUUUGAACACCUGAGGGCAGACCAAUUGAAUUGGAAUGCUAGUGGGAAACCACCUAGGAAGAGGAGGAGAAUUCAUUAAGUAUUAUUAAUGCGCCCGGCUGAUCUUACCUAUACUGAACACCAAGCAGAACUGGAGGAGAAACUUCCAAGGAAUAUCAGAGCUGUUUGCUUGGCUGAGCAGUAAAAAAAGAAGAAAAAAAUUCAGAAGGCAGUGGCUAACUAUUUCUUUGCUGUUCCCAUGAAAACUACAUGGGUGUAUCUGUGACACCCAAUUGAAGGAUAAAUGGUUUUUAUUUAAAUCUGAGGAUUCUCUCUACUCCUUGAGGAGGCAGAGUCAUUGUAUCAGUACAGGAGCAAAGGUGAGUGAGAUGUGGAGGGCAAAGCAAUUCUAUUUUGAUCUACUCAGAUAUAUCCCUGAACUGAGUGGGACUUAACCCUGGGUAAGUAUUCAUAGCAUUGCAAUUGAUGCAGCGGGAGAGGGGAUGAAGACAGGGCUCAGUUUAGCGUGCUGAAUUAUAUUCAGAUGUCCCCUCAAGCAGCAAAAGUCUUGGUAAAAUCAGCCCCUAUUGCUUCCUCACAUCUUCCAUUUGGGAUGGUGAACAUUGGACCUGUUUUGAGCCAUUAUGAAAAGGGCUCAAUAGCAAGAAAAAGAUUAGCCCAAAUACAUGGCCUGCUGUUGGAAUCCCUUAGGGCAUCUCUGAAGUUAAUGUAGAAUUGGGAUUUUACACUUGUUAUCAUUGUUAUUACUAUAUUUGAAAAAGGGGUGUGUGUUUUUUUGGGUUUGUUUGUUUUUUUGAAGAUAUAGAUUGGUACCAUUCUGCUGAAACAGGAGCAGGAAAGACCAAUCUGCCGAUGGACAGAAACAGAAGAGCAAAAGUCUUCAGGGAUAUCAGGAGGGCAUUCCUAACAGAGAUUCAGGUCUGGGGAUAGUUUUGUUCCUGGACGUAUGAUGCACGUGACUCAACACUGGCAGAUUUCAAGGCACGAUUUGGCUUGGGUACUUGUUUGAUUGUUUUUUAAAUCUUUCCUGCCAAGGCUUGCUUUUUAAAUGUUUAUCUGGAAUGGAAUUAUAGUCUUAUUGGCUGUCCCAUAUGACCUUGAGCAAGUCAGGUGGUAACACAUUGUGCACAGAACAUGUAAAUUAGAGACAAGUACAUUAAUCUUUUGGCUGGAAUGUCUAUCAGGCUUACUAAUUAAAUUUCAAACUGCAUUUCACUUCCAGAGUUUUAUCUACUAGAAGGAUGGCAAUGUAAUCUAUUCUUGUGCUCGAUUCAGA